GCCUAACACAUGCAAGUCGAGCGGUAGAGAGAAGCUUGCUUCUCUUGAGAGCGGCGGACGGGUGAGUAAUGCCUAGGAAUCUGCCUGGUAGUGGGGGAUAACGUUCGGAAACGGACGCUAAUACCGCAUACGUCCUACGGGAGAAAGCAGGGGACCUUCGGGCCUUGCGCUAUCAGAUGAGCCUAGGUCGGAUUAGCUAGUUGGUGAGGUAAUGGCUCACCAAGGCGACGAUCCGUAACUGGUCUGAGAGGAUGAUCAGUCACACUGGAACUGAGACACGGUCCAGACUCCUACGGGAGGCAGCAGUGGGGAAUAUUGGACAAUGGGCGAAAGCCUGAUCCAGCCAUGCCGCGUGUGUGAAGAAGGUCUUCGGAUUGUAAAGCACUUUAAGUUGGGAGGAAGGGUUGUAGAUUAAUACUCUGCAAUUUUGACGUUACCGACAGAAUAAGCACCGGCUAACUCUGUGCCAGCAGCCGCGGCAAUACAGAGGGUGCAAGCGUUAAUCGGAAUUACUGGGCGUAAAGCGCGCGUAGGUGGUUUGUUAAGUUGGAUGUGAAAUCCCCGGGCUCAACCUGGGAACUGCAUUCAAAACUGACUGACUAGAGUAUGGUAGAGGGUGGUGGAAUUUCCUGUGUAGCGGUGAAAUGCGUAGAUAUAGGAAGGAACACCAGUGGCGAAGGCGACCACCUGGACUAAUACUAACACUGAGGUGCGAAAGCGUGG
rnacentral:rRNA from 1 species